rnacentral:rRNA from 1 species
UAACGCGAAGAACCUUACCAAGGCUUGACAUGGACCGGACCGGGCUGGAAACAGUCCUUCCCCUUUGGGGCCGGUUCACAGGUGGUGCAUGGUUGUCGUCAGCUCGUGUCGUGAGAUGUCGGGUUAAGUCCCGCAACGAGCGCAACCCUCGUUCCAUGUUGCCAGCGCGUAAUGGCGGGGACUCAUGGGAGACUGCCGGGGUCAACUCGGAGGAAGGUGGGGACGACGUCAAAUCAUCAUGCCCCUUAUGUCUUGGGCUUCACGCAUGCUACAAUGGCCGGUACAAAGGGUUGCGAUACUGUGAGGUGGAGCUAAUCCCAAAAAGCCGGUCUCAGUUCGGAUUGGGGUCUGCAACUCGACCCCAUGAAGUCGGAGUCGCUAGUAAUCGCAGAUCAGCAACGCUGCGGUGAAUACGUUCCCGGGUCUUGUACACACCGA